AUCGAAUUAAAAUCCCCAAAAUUAAUAAAAGUAAUUAAAUUAUCGCAAGCAUUUUCCCCUCGAACUAUAUUUAUUUCGGACUUAGGAUAUAAUUAUUCGUUCGUUGAAAUAUUCCGAAAUUAAUUAGAUAAUUCGACACAAUUAAUUAUCGGCCCAAAGAUUUAUUUAAAAGCCCCAAAACUUAAUUAUUUCCCCCACUUUAUGUCUCCAAUUAAAUUAGGAAGCCCCAACAAAUUAAAUUGGAGCCCAACUAACCAAAUCCUACCAUUUAAAUUAAAAAGGCCCAAAGCUAAUUCUUAUUUUUCCUCAAUCAAUUAACAAUGCCCAAAACAAAAAAAAAAAACAAAAGGCCCAUACCAUUUAUUUCUAAUUACUGAGGCCCAAAAUCAAAAUGUACUCCCCCCCUCACAUUCACACUCUCGGUUCUCUCUCUCUCCCUCUUCUUCUUUCUCUCUUCUUUCUCUCUCGCCCAAAAUUGCAGAAGCUCGACGCCGGAAGGUCGCUGCUGCUGCCGUCGCUGCUGUGCUCCCAGCCGGAAGCCGCCGUCGCACGGUCAGGCCGCAGCAGGAGGCGCAGCGCCGUUCGCCCGUGCCGCAAACCACCGUCGCCGUCAUUCAAUCGGGGCAGUCCCUACUUACCCCACCGCACAACCCCGAACAACUCCGAACAGCCCCGAAUCGACCCGAAUCAAUGCCGCGCAGCCCCGAUUUCCUCCCCGAAGAUUACGGAGGAGAAAUAUCUACUCACGGAGGAGGAAAAUCUGCGUAGAAUAUUUAAUUAAAGAUAUUUUAUUUUAAUUAGUUUAAUUUAAUUCACGGCCCAUUGUAUUUUAUUUUAAAUUGUGCAGUACACAAUUUAUUAAUCACGGACUGGACUUUUAUAUUAA